rnacentral:rRNA from 1 species
AGAGCGAACGCUGGCGGCAGGCUUAACACAUGCAAGUCGAGCGGGCGUAGCAAUACGUCAGCGGCAGACGGGUGAGUAACGCGUGGGAACGUACCUUUUGGUUCGGAACAACACAGGGAAACUUGUGCUAAUACCGGAUAAGCCCUUACGGGGAAAGAUUUAUCGCCGAAAGAUCGGCCCGCGUCUGAUUAGCUAGUUGGUGAGGUAACGGCUCACCAAGGCGACGAUCAGUAGCUGGUCUGAGAGGAUGAUCAGCCACAUUGGGACUGAGACACGGCCCAAACUCCUACGGGAGGCAGCAGUGGGGAAUAUUGGACAAUGGGCGCAAGCCUGAUCCAGCCAUGCCGCGUGAGUGAUGAAGGCCCUAGGGUUGUAAAGCUCUUUUGUGCGGGAAGAUAAUGACGGUACGCAAGAAUAAGCCCCGGCUAACUUCGCGCCAGCAGCCGC